UGACUCGGACGGGAUGAGCGGAAGGGACAGGGAGAGGGAGCGAGUCGAGGAGAAAAUCGCUCGUGGGCUGGUGUCUCUUCACGGCGAUUCUCAGGUGAUCGAGGUUAACCGUUUUUCGCUUCUUCUCCGCCGCAACUACGGAAGAUUUCUCGGCGAGGAAGCGGAGGAAGAGCUCGCUGGAGUAAGUGACGAGGUGAAGAGCUUCCGAGUUGAUUUUGUUGAUGUCCUUGUCGACUUUCAUUAUCUUCUUCACUCUUGUGAUUGGAAACUCCGGUCGUGUCGUCUCUUCUUCUUCCGCCAUGGAAUUGAUUCUUUCUUUUUUUUAAGAGAAUUGACUAAAAUUGUUUAGGGUUGGGGGGGGAUUUCAUUUUCGUUUACGCGCUUUAUAUUAAGAGCGCGGGAAAAAGUAAAAAAAAAUGAAUAAACAAGAAAGCUAACUAUAGCCAUACAAGAGGUUAAAAAAGUUACAUUUUAACUUUUUAAUACAUCUCAAACUUUCCACUUGAGACACAUAUUUUUCUUGUUAUUUAUUUAGUUUACUUUUAUCUAAAACUAACCAAACUUAAUAUUACAUCUUGUUUUUCUCUAAUUAAAAAAAUAAUAUUUUUAUUAUUAGAAAACUGAAACCAUCGAAGUAAUCAUACAUGCUACUUCUCUCUUAUCUCAAAAUCACUUUCUCAAAUCCCUGAACUCCAAUCUCGUCUAAUUCCUCUUGUCUCUUCUUCUCUUCAAGAGAUGAUGAGCGGAUUCUAAACACCAAAUAAGCAACAUUUUAGGUUUGACAACUCUGCAGGAGUCUAAAACAGAGACGCUGGAAGAUGAGCUGAAGGAAGCCCCAUGAGCAAGGUUCAUGCUCCAGCUCAUCGUCUUGCUAGGUAUUUAUCAUCAUGCUUUCAAAGGAAAUGACUCAGAUCAUUCGAAGCGAGUAUGUGCAGCAAGAGCCGCGGUUUCUAGACUGAUAUUAGUUUCUAACGCAUGUGACAUUAAAAAUAUCAAUUUGGUUUUAUGCAAACUGACAUUGCAGAGUAUGACGCCUUAUAUGCAACCUUCAGGAAAAAGAAAGUUAGGUCAUAAGAACCAGGGAAUCUAUGCGAUAGAGCUAUGGAUUAAAAGCUGCUUGUGAAAGACUUUUCCCACUAAACUUGUUUCUGCUGUCAGGUUAUGAAACAGAUAACCAGUAGACUUGAUGAAGCAACGUUCAAUGCGAUACUAUGUCAGUCAGCAUGGUGAAAUGCCGACAGAUCCCAUAAAUGUUCUUCCAAGUCCAGCAGGAAAGCAAGUUUUGGUGCAGGUGCACAGUUAAUAACCGCAGUAAAUGAAGCUAACAUGAAGAAUCUUCACAGCAACCGCACACCAAAAGAAAAAAAAAAUUACUUUUGGUAUAUAAUUUGAAUUUGCCUUGGCAGAUUGGAACUUGGUCUAGAUGGGUUGAGGAUCAAUUCGAGCAAAAGGAGGAAAAAUCUGAUAGCAAUAAUAAUGAGAAGUCAGAUUGUGAAAAUUUCAGAUUGUUUCAUCUACUUAAACAAGUUGAGCGAUCUAUUGAUGCUUCCCUUCAAAAUGCUUGCACAAAAAGAGAGGGUACUGAUUACACUGCUCGGAACUCACUUCUUAUUUCAAAACAUUUUGGACUUAUCACGUUCCUGUCUGAAGAAUUAUCAGUACUUUGGUAAAGAUAGCCAGAACAAGAGACUAGAGAUGAUUGAAACAUAACAUUUACUACUUAACAGAACAAAAAUCAUAAAAUCGUUAAUGAUUUUGAGCAAAGAAGAAGUUUGGGUAUUAAGGGGAAUCGACUUUCGCCUUGCCUUUACUGAAGAAAGCGUCGAUGCGACGGGUCCCAACAGGCGGCGGAUUCCUCUCCGACACCGUUUUAGUGACUCGGACGGGAUGAGCGGAAGGGACAGGGAGAGGGAGCGAGUCGAGGAGAAAAUCGCUCGUGGGCUGGUGUCUCUUCACGGCGAUUCUCAGGUGAUCGAGGUUAACCGUUUUUCGCUUCUUCUCCGCCGCAACUACGGAAGAUUUCUCGGCGAGGAAGCGGAGGAAGAGCUCGCUGGAGUAAGUGACGAGGUGAAGAGCUUCCGAGUUGAUUUUGUUGAUGUCCUUGUCGACUUUCAUUAUCUUCUUCACUCUUGUGAUUGGAAACUCCGGUCGUGUCGUCUCUUCUUCUUCCGCCAUGGAAUUGAUU
rnacentral:lncRNA from 1 species